AACAGGAUUAGAUACCCUGGUAGUCCAUGCCGUAAACGAUGUCUACUAGCCGUUGGGGCCUUUGAGGCUUUAGUGGCGCAGCUAACGCGAUAAGUAGACCGCCUGGGGAGUACGGUCGCAAGACUAAAACUCAAAUGAAUUGACGGGGGCCCGCACAAGCGGUGGAGCAUGUGGUUUAAUUCGAUGCAACGCGAAGAACCUUACCUGGUCUUGACAUAGUAAGAACUUUCCAGAGAUGGAUUGGUGCCUUCGGGAACUUACAUACAGGUGCUGCAUGGCUGUCGUCAGCUCGUGUCGUGAGAUGUUGGGUUAAGUCCCGCAACGAGCGCAACCCUUUUCCUUAUUUGCCAGCGGGUUAAGCCGGGAACUUUAAGGAUACUGCCAGUGACAAACUGGAGGAAGGCGGGGACGACGUCAAGUCAUCAUGGCCCUUACGACCAGGGCUACACACGUGCUACAAUGGUCGGUACAAAGGGUUGCUACCUCGCGAGAGGAUGCUAAUCUCAAAAAGCCGAUCGUAGUCCGGAUCGCAGUCUGCAACUCGACUGCGUGAAGUCGGAAUCGCUAGUAAUCGCGGAUCAGAAUGCCGCGGUGAAUACGUUCCCGGGCCUUGUACACACCGCCCGUCACACCAUGGGAGUUUGUUGCACCAGAAGUAGGUAGUCUAACCGCAAGGAGGACGCUUACCACGGUGUGGCAGAUGACUGGGGUGAAGUCGUAACAAGGUAACC
rnacentral:rRNA from 1 species